rnacentral:rRNA from 1 species
GAUGAACGCUAGCGAUAGGCUUAACACAUGCAAGUCGAGGGGCAGCAUGGUCUUAGCUUGCUAAGGCUGAUGGCGACCGGCGCACGGGUGCGUAACGCGUAUGCAACUUGCCUCACAGAGGGGGAUAACCCGUCGAAAGACGGUCUAAUACCGCGUACACUCUAUGUUGGGCAUCCAAUGUAGAGGAAAUGAAAUUCGCUGUGAGAUAGGCAUGCGUCCCAUUAGCUAGUUGGUGAGGUAACGGCUCACCAAGGCGACGAUGGGUAGGGGAACUGAGAGGUUGAACCCCCACACUGGUACUGAGACACGGACCAGACUCCUACGGGAGGCAGCAGUGAGGAAUAUUGAUCAAUGGGCGAGAGCCUGAACCAGCCAAGUCGCGUGAAGGAUGACUGUCUUAUGGAUUGUAAACUUCUUUUAUACGGGAAUAACAAGAGUCACGUGUGGCUCCCUGCAUGUACCGUAUGAAUAAGCAUCGGCUAACUCCGUG